UACGUAGGGUGCAAGCGUUGUCCGGAAUUAUUGGGCGUAAAGAGCUCGUAGGCGGUUUGUCGCGUCUGCUGUGAAAACUCGGGGCUUAACCCCGGGCCUGCAGUGGGUACGGGCAGACUAGAGGUGCGGUAGGGGAGACUGGAAUUCCUGGUGUAGCGGUGAAAUGCGCAGAUAUCAGGAGGAACACCGGUGGCGAAGGCGGGUCUCUGGGCCGUAACUGGACGCUGGAGGAGCGAAGCGUGGGGAGCGAACAGG
rnacentral:rRNA from 1 species